AACUUCUUUCUGAGAGAGUAAGGUAGUUUUAUUCUCUUUUGCAAGAAAAAUGCGAAAAGUAAACAGACAUCCCUGCAGAAGCUUGCAACUAAUCAGCUGAUUUAAAAAUUUUUCCAGCAUAAUUUGCAAACUCUCACUGAAAGAACUGUCAAAAUUUCUCUCUCCAACCGCUCUCUUUUGCAGAACUUUUGGGUUAACAGAC